UACGGGGGGGGCAAGCGUUGUUCGGAAUUACUGGGCGGAAAGGGCUCGUAGGUGGCCGACUAAGUCAGACGUGAAAUCCCUCGGCUUAACCGGGGAACUGCGUCUGAUACUGGACGGCUUGAGUUCGGGAGAGGGAUGCGGAAUUCCAGGUGUAGCGGUGAAAUGCGUAGAUAUCUAGAGGAACACCGGUGGCGAAGGCGGCAUCCUGGACCGACACUGACACUGAGGAGCGAAAGCCAGGGGAGCAAACGGG
rnacentral:rRNA from 1 species